rnacentral:rRNA from 1 species
UGGGGAAUAUUGCACAAUGGGCGCAAGCCUGAUGCAGCGACGCCGCGUGCGGGAUGGAGGCCUUCGGGUUGUAAACCGCUUUUGUUCAAGGGCAAGGCACGGUUUUUGGCCGUGUUGAGUGGAUUGUUCGAAUAAGCACCGGCUAACUACGUGCCAGCAGCCGCGGUAAUACGUAGGUGCCAGCAGCCGCGGUAAUACGUAGGUG